rnacentral:rRNA from 1 species
GAACGUGCCCAGUCGUGGGGGAUAACUACUCGAAAGAGUAGCUAAUACCGCAUACGAUCUGAGGAUGAAAGCGGGGGACCUUCGGGCCUCGCGCGAUUGGAGCGGCCGAUGGCAGAUUAGGUAGUUGGUGGGAUAAAAGCUUACCAAGCCGACGAUCUGUAGCUGGUCUGAGAGGACGACCAGCCACACUGGGACUGAGACACGGCCCAGACUCCUACGGGAGGCAGCAGUGGGGAAUUUUGGACAAUGGGCGAAAGCCUGAUCCAGCAAUGCCGCGUGCAGGAUGAAGGCCUUCGGGUUGUAAACUGCUUUUGUACGGAACGAAAAAGCUCCUUCUAAUACAGGGGGCCC